rnacentral:ncRNA from 1 species
CUAAUAUUUACAAAUAUAACUCUCUUACGGGGUUGUUUUCUCUUACUAAAACAUAUACUACUUUAGUCUGGAAAAUCGGGUGCCCUCAGCAUUCGAAUUGUAGUCUGGAAAAGCGUCCUCAGCGGCGGACCGGGCCUAAGUCCCCUGGAAGGGGGGCGCUAGAGAAGGUGAGAGCCUCAUCCUGCCUGGACCCUGUCGCACCACGAGGUGCUGUCUAUGAGUCGGGUUAUUUGGGAAUGCAGCCCAAAUCAGGCGGUAAUUUCCGUCCAAAGCUAAAUACGGGCAAGAGACCGAUAGCGAAUAAGUACUGUGAGGGAAAGAUGAAAAUGACUUUGAAAAGAGAGUUAAAGAGUGCUUGAAAUUGUCGGAAGGGAAGCGGAUGGGGCCGGCGAUGUGCCCCAGUCGGAUGUGGAACGGCCAAAAGUCGGUCCGCCAUUCGGCUUAGGGUGCGGACCGACGCGGAUUGCAGCGGAGGCCCAAGCCCAGGCUUUUGAUACGCCUGUGGAGAUGUCGUCGCACCGAUUGUGGACUGCAGCGCGCUCCGUCAUAGUGUGUUUCGGCACCUGCGCGCUCCGGGCGUCAGCCAACGAGCUCCACAUUUUUCCCGUCUUGAAACACAG